UUGACCUCGGAUUAGGUAGGAAUACCCGCUGAACUUAAGCAUAUCAAUAAGCGGAGGAAAA
rnacentral:rRNA from 1 species